CACUGAAAUGUGGUAUUGGCAAGGUGAAGAUUACGGUUUGCAAGCAAGAUGUUAAUAUGAAGAUUAUAUCCUUCACUCAGCAAGGGGCAAGAGCUAUCUGCAUUCUUGCUGCAAACGGUGCAAUUUCUAAUGUUACACUUGGUCAACCUAAUUCUUCUGGAGGUGCUCAACGCGUCACAGUUCGAGGUUUCUUGCUGAUCAAAUAAGUGGUGUAUUAGCUGACUUAGGAAAUCAUUAGACUUAUUUAUUGUUGUUAGAAGACAUCAAAUCUUUUUGGUGUUGUUUUAAAUCUUAACCUUAGGUGUUGAAGAGUUGGCAUAAAUUUAAUGGAAAAUGGAUGUUAAUUUGAGGAUUUCA